UACAGCCAUAUCAUGCUGAAACACUGGUUCUCAUCUGAUCACUAAAAUUAAGCAAUAACAAGCCUGAUCAGUACCUAGAUGGGUGACCACUUGGACUACCAGGUGCUGUAAG